rnacentral:rRNA from 12 species
UGACUGGGGCGGUCGCCUCCUAAAAGGUAACGGAGGCGCCCAAAGGUUCCCUCAGCCUGGUUGGUAAUCAGGUGUUGAGUGUAAGUGCACAAGGGAGCUUGACUGUGAGACCGACAGGUCGAGCAGGGACGAAAGUCGGGACUAGUGAUCUGACGGUGGCGUGUGGAAGCGCCGUCACUCAACGGAUAAAAGGUACCCCGGGGAUAACAGGCUGAUCUUGCCCGAGCGUCCAUAGCGACGGCAUGGUUUGGCACCUCGAUGUCGGCUCGUCGCAUCCUGGGGCUGGAG